rnacentral:rRNA from 1 species
CGGCGGACGGGUGAGUAACGCGUGGGUAACCUGCCUCAUACAGGGGGAUAACAGUUGGAAACGGCUGCUAAUACCGCAUAAGCGCACAGUACCGCAUGGUACGGUGUGAAAAACUCCGGUGGUAUGAGAUGGACCCGCGUCUGGUUAGGUAGUUGGUGGGGUAACGGCCUACCAAGCCGACGAUCAGUAGCCGACCUGAGAGGGUGACCGGCCACAUUGGGACUGAGACACGGCCCAG